GAUGAAGAACGCAGUGAAAUGCGAUAAGUAAUGUGAAUUGCAGAAUUCAGUGAAUCAUCGAGUCUUUGAACGCACAUUGCGCCCCCUGGUAUUCCGGGGGGCAUGCCUGUCCGAGCGUCAUUGCUGCCCUCAAGCACGGCUUGUGUGUUGGGCCCCGUCCCCUCCCCCGGGGACGGGCCCGAAAGGCAGCGGCGGCACCGCGUCCGAUCCUCGAGCGUAUGGGGCUUUGUCACCCGCUCUGUAGGCCCGGCCGGCGCCAGCCGACACCCAACUUUUAUUUCUAAGGCUGACCUCGGAUCAGGUAGGGAUACCCGCUGAACUUAAGCAUAUCAAUAAGCGGACGA
rnacentral:misc_RNA from 1 species